CGUGAGUGAUGAAGGCUUUCGGGUCGUAAAGCUCUGUCAAGUGGGAAGAACUUACAGGAUACUAAUAAUGUCCUGUACUGACGGUACCACUGAAGGAAGCACCGGCUAACUCCGUGCCAGCAGCCGCGGUAAUACGGGGGGUGCAAGCGUUAUUCGGAAUCAUUGGGCGUAAAGGGCGCGUAGGCGGCUUCUUAAGUCAGAUGUGAAAGCCCGGGGCUUAACCCCGGAAGUGCAUUUGAAACUAAGGAGCUUGAGUAUGGGAGAGGGAAGUGGAAUUCCUGGUGUAGAGGUGAAAUUCGUAGAUAUCAGGAGGAACACCGGUGGCGAAGGCGACUUCCUGGACCAAUACUGACGCUGAGGCGCGAAGGCGUGGGGAGCAAACAGGAUUAGAUACCCUGGUAGUCCACGCAGUAAACGGUGAACACUAGGUGUAGCGGGUAUUGACCCCUGCUGUGCCGCAGUUAACGCAUUAA
rnacentral:rRNA from 1 species